rnacentral:rRNA from 1 species
UCCUCCCUCUGGCGGCGUGCUUAACACAUGCAAGUCGAACGGGAUUUAGUAGACAGAAGCCUCGGCUAAAGAUUACUAAUGAGAGUGGCGAACGGGUGAGUAACGCGUGAGCAACCUGCCUAUGACAGUGGGAUAGCCUCUGGAAACCGGGAUUAAUACCGCAUAAAAUCGUCGAAACACAUGUUUUAACGGUCAAAGAUUUAUCGGUCAUAGAUGGGCUCGCGUCUGAUUAGCUAGUUGGUGAGAUAACAGCCCACCAAGGCGACGAUCAGUAGCCGGUCUGAGAGGAUGAACGGCCACAUUGGAACGGAGACACGGUCCAAACUCCUACGGGAGGCAGCAGUGGGGAAUAUUGCACAAUGGGGGAAACCCUGAUGCAGCGACGCCGCGUGAACGAAGAAGGUAUUCGUAUCGUAAAGUUCUGUCCUAGGGGAAGAUAAUGACAGUACCAGAGAAGAAAGCUCCGGCUAAAUACGU